UACGUAGGGUGCGAGCGUUAAUCGGAAUUACUGGGCGUAAAGCGUGCGCAGGCGGAUUGUUAAGCAAGAUGUGAAAUCCCCGGGCUUAACCUGGGAAUGGCAUUUUGAACUGGCAAUCUAGAGUGUGUCAGAGGGGGGUAGAAUUCCACGUGUAGCAGUGAAAUGCGUAGAGAUGUGGAGGAAUACCGAUGGCGAAGGCAGCCCCCUGGGAUAACACUGACGCUGAUGGACGAAAGCUAGGGGAGCGAAAGGG
rnacentral:rRNA from 1 species